rnacentral:rRNA from 1 species
UACAGAGGUCCCAAGCGUUGUUCGGAUUCAUUGGGCGUAAAGAGCGCGCAGGCGGUCGUGCAAGUCGCGUGUGAAAGCCCCCGGCUCAACUGGGGAGGGUCACGCGAUACUGCUCGACUUGAAGGCAGGAGAGGGAAGUGGAAUUCCCGGUGUAGUGGUGAAAUGCGCAGAUAUCAGGAGGAACACCGGUGGCGAAGGCGGAUCUCUGGGCCGUAACUGACGCUGAGGAGCGAAAGCAUGGGGAGCGAACAGG